UACUGAGGGGGCCAGCGUUAUUCGGAAUUAUUGGGCGUAAAGGGCGCGUAGGCGGCUGGGGAAGUCGGCGGUGAAAGCCCGGAGCUCAACUCCGGGUCGGCCGUCGAGACUCCUCGGCUCGAGCUCACUAGAGGCAGAUGGAAUUCCGGGUGUAGCGGUGGAAUGCGUAGAGAUCCGGAAGAACACCGGUGGCGAAGGCGGUCUGCUGGGGUGAGGCUGACGCUGAGGCGCGACAGCGUGGGGAGCAAACAGG
rnacentral:rRNA from 1 species